UGGUUCUAUCCGUCCACUUAAAGCGCUGC
rnacentral:sRNA from 1 species